UACGAAGGGGGCUAGCGUUGUUCGGAUUUACUGGGUGUAAAGGGCGUGUAGGCGGGAAAUUAAGUCAGAUGUGAAAGUCCAUGGCCCAACUGUGGGAGUGCAUCUGAAACUGAUUUUCUUGAGUACUGGAGAGGAAAGCGGAAUUCCAAGUGUAGCGGUGAAAUGCGUAGAGAUUUGGAGGAACACCAGUGGCGAAGGCGGCUUUCGGGACAGUAACUGACGCUGAGGCGCGAAAGCGUGGGGAGCAAACAGG
rnacentral:rRNA from 1 species